CGAUCUAAGAAGGCGCCGUGUGUUCGUCGAAUGCAUAUUCGGAAGGAACUACUGACCGACAUCAUCGCGGUACGUAAAUGGGUUGCGCAUCCCGGUCUGAAAGAUAACGCGCUGCGUGAAUCGAUGGUAGGAAGUGCAGAGGCCGAACGGGUGGCGACAAGGUCGUGCGAUUACUGUCAGCUCUCGAGCUGCCGGCUCUCAUCGAAACCGAGGCAUCACUGUUGCUGCAGCUAUUGAACAGAGCACGGCAAGUGGACGAUCCCCCUGUCCCGUGGGCAGCAGGCAGCCGUACAACUUCUCAUCUCCGUGUAAUACGUGGCCGACCGUU